rnacentral:ncRNA from 1 species
CAAAGGCUUGGUCCUGACUUUACUAUCAACUUUAGACAAAUUUACACAUGCAAGUAUCCGCACUCCUGUGAGAAUGCCCUACAGUCCCCCGUCCGGGAACAAGGAGCUGGUAUCAGGCACAUUCAUCAGGCCCAUGACACCUUGCUUAGCCACACCCUCAAGGGAACUCAGCAGUGAUAGACAUUAAGCCAUAAGUGAAAACUUGACUUAAUUAAAGCUAAGAGGGCCGGUAAAACUCGUGCCAGCCACCGCGGUUAUACGAGAGGCCCAAGUUGACAGACACCGGCGUAAAGAGUGGUUAAGCUAAAACUUAAACUAAAGCCAAACAUCUUCAAGACUGUUAUACGUACCCGAAGACAGGAAACUCAACCACGAAAGUAGCUUUAUUUAAUCUGACCCCACGAAAGCUACGGCACAAACUGGGAUUAGAUACCCCACUAUGCCUAGCCAUAAACAUUGAUAGUAUUUUACACCCACUAUCCGCCCGGGUACUACGAGCAACAGCUUAAAACCCAAAGGACUUGGCGGUGCUUUAGACCCACCUAGAGGAGCCUGUUCUAGAACCGAUAACCCCCGUUCAACCUCACCCUUCCUUGUUUUUCCCGCCUAUAUACCGCCGUCGUCAGCUUACCCUGUGAGGGUCAAAUAGUAAGCAAAACUGGCACAGCCUAAAACGUCAGGUCGAGGUGUAGCGUAUGGAGGGGGAAGAAAUGGGCUACAUUCGCUACAGUAGCGAACACGAAAGAUGAGCUGAAACGUUUAUCUGAAGGAGGAUUUAGCAGUAAGCGGGAAAUAGAGCGUCCCGCUGAAACUGGCCCUGAAGCGCGCACACACCGCCCGUCACUCUCCCCAAAACCACACCCCCGUUAAUUAAAACCUAAUAACCAACAAGGGGAGGCAAGUCGUAACAUGGUAAGUGUACCGGAAGGUGCACUUGGUAUAAU